GAAAAGGACACCUCCCAGAAUGCAGUGCGGUGGUGGAGGGGGAGGGGCACUUCCUGUGAGCUGAGUGUGGAUGGAGUCAUGAGCUGAGAGUGACCACCAAAGAUCCGACCAACAUGGAGGAGACCGUCACCGAGAGGAUCCUCCACCUCACCCUGGAGAUCAUCUACCUGCUGACAGGAGAGAGAUUUCCUCUUGUGAAGUCAGGUGAUCACAUGACCA